CUGGAUGAGUACUCACAAAACGCGCAGGUAACUUAAAUUUCACACACACAAGUACGUGUUCUUAGAUUACAGGGAUACUCUGCUGCUCCAAACACCACUCUGGGACUUGCUAUUUACAGAAAGCUCUUAGCUAUGGCUUCCAGCAGCUCAGACCCAAACUGACCGACGCGACGACGACGAGCAGUCGAGCAAACAGCAGAGUGGUGCAAGACAACAGCAGCAAGCAACAACCAGUGGUGGUGGUAGUACUAUGGUACAGCACAGUACAGAUCCGGCCGCCGGAAGCACGCCGGAACGCCGCGGGAGCUCGCCGACCGAGCAGAGAGAGCGUAGCAUCACUUGGGCCCCCAGAGCAGCAGGUGCAUCACCUUGGCCGUCUUGCCGUGGUCCUCGCGCCCGCCGCGCCGCCCCGGCUGCGGCUGCUGCUGCCGCCCCGCCGCCACGCCGGCGUCGCGCGCCGUCAGCGCGCGCCGGAGGGCCGCGAGCUCCGGCCACCUGCUCUCCCGGCCGCCGCCGCCGCUCAUGGCUCCUGCCGCAGCUGCUGCGCCACCGUAGCACCUCUCGGCUCUCGGCUUCUGCUACAAACAAAUCAUGCCGUUAGCAGCUAACUCUACUCACCAGCACCCACCAGGCCGGCCACUUAUAUAUAGCGGCGAGGAGCCGGCGGCGAGCCUGCCAGCGAAGACGUGACGUGUCCAGACUCCAGCGGAGGGCCCGGCGCGGCAGCUGGGGAUAAGCGGUAACAAAUAUCGCGCCGCGUUCUUAUCAAA
rnacentral:lncRNA from 1 species